AGUCCAUCCUGAUUCUCCAUCCUGAAAUAAAAAAUGUUAAGGUCUAUUAAAGGAGGAUAAGACACAGUCUCAGCAAAUAUAAAAUAAGAAUGGCACCAGAUCUGAUUUCAGCGUUAUAAUCCUUGAAGGCAACACUUUUAUAUCACUCACAAUUUAAAAUCAUAUUCGUCAAGACAGAAAAUAAUGUCGAAAGUGGUGGCACACACACACAACACCAGGCAUUAUGGGAAUCACACAACACCAGGUAUUAUGGAAACAGAUAAUCACAGGCAGAUUCUACUUGUGUUUCUAGUCCUACUAACAAAAGAACCCUAUGUAGAUCUGCAGCCUGAAGGAUGGCAACUACACAUGCAUAAUACCACUCAUCAGAAAUCUCCAAAUUCAACACAUUUUAGGCUUGAAACUCCACAAUACACAGAUGUUAACAUCAUGCCAUUCAAACUGACACCACCAUACAUGAAGUUUUAUGCACACUGAGCAUAAACACAGAGCAAAAUAAAUAUCUUAUCCCAAGAAACCUCAUAUAACACAAAAUCUUGAUAAUCCAAUCAACUACUUGUAGAGGACUAAAAUUGUCAGGGUUGAAGCCUUAUUAACUAUUAACAGGUGAGGGAAAGCGAGUGUCUCACUUUAAUAUCAGAUCAAAUGUCCUUGACAACCAAUUCUUAUAUGAACCAGCAUGUUAUGACAUACCCAAUAUUUUGCAAUUGGCAAACAGUGAAAUAAAAUGGCAGGAUCAAAUGCUCAAGAACAUACCCAGAAUUAACGAAUUGGUUCAGAGAAUGUUGCUUGGCAAAGAUCAUUAAAGAAAUUUUUGCCAUGAAAAAUGAGGAAUUACAAAGGCAAUUAAAUUUCUCUCUGGCUCAAUACACCCAAAUCUCAAUGAUACUCAAAAGCUUUGCUCUUAUUUUUUUGUGCUCACUAUUGCUUGUGUUUCUUGUUGCCUUGAGAAAUUUGUUACAGGUAUACAUAUAUGUUACUUUAUGUAGCUUGAAUUAUGAAUAUGUCUUCAUAGACUUGCAUUAUGACCAGACUUGAAAAGUUUCUCAUUGCACCCUCGAAUGAAUUAUUUUGUGAGGUCAAUGGUGGGCUCCAGCCUUGGCUCCCUGCAGUAUGGAGCAGAAUAAAUAUUGUAUUUUCUACCUAUGGAGGUAGUAUUGUGAGAUAUUUAGGAAAAUACACUUGGGUUGAAGUUUGUGAAUUUUGUGUGAUUUUUUGCCCUUAUAUUAUAGUGAAAAUUUUGCUCUUGUCUUACCCGUGGACAUAGGACUUUACAAUUGAAUCACAUAAAAUCUUGUUAAAAAAAGUUCAUUCUUCUUCUCUUCUCUAUAUUGUAAUUGUGCGAUUGUGUGCGUGUCUUAGAUUUGUAUGCCUGUUAUAACAAUAUAUAUAGCUGGCGAUCUCUACUUGAUUUUGAAGUCUUAAAAACUUAAACUCCCAGUCAUUGCACACUUGGCCUCCAAGUUCUUCCACCAACUUCCCAAUAAAAAAACUUGACCAUUAGGAA
rnacentral:misc_RNA from 1 species